rnacentral:tRNA from 1 species
GCCCGCGUAGGGUAGCGGAUAUCCUGAGAGAUUGCGGAUCUCUUGACCCGAGUUCGAAUCUCGGCGCGGGCGCCA